GAUGAACGCUGGCGGCGUGCCUAAUACAUGCAAGUCGAGCGAACAGACGAGGAGCUUGCUCCUUUGACGUUAGCGGCGGACGGGUGAGUAACACGUGGGUAACCUACCUAUAAGACUGGGAUAACUUCGGGAAACCGGAGCUAAUACCGGAUAAUAUUUUGAACCGCAUGGUUCGAUAGUGAAAGACGGUUUUGCUGUCACUUAUAGAUGGAUCUGCGCCGCAUUAGCUAGUUGGUAAGGUAACGGCUUACCAAGGCAACGAUGCGUAGCCGACCUGAGAGGGUGAUCGGCCACACUGGAACUGAGACACGGUCCAGACUCCUACGGGAGGCAGCAGUAGGGAAUCUUCCGCAAUGGGCGAAAGCCUGACGGAGCAACGCCGCGUGAGUGAUGAAGGUCUUCGGAUCGUAAAACUCUGUUAUUAGGGAAGAACAAACGUGUAAGUAACUAUGCACGUCUUGACGGUACCUAAUCAGAAAGCCACGGCUAACUACGUG
rnacentral:rRNA from 1 species